CCGUGGCUCAGUUGGUAGAGCGUCGCAUUCGUAAUGCGUAGGUCGUGGGUUCGAGUCCCAUCGG
rnacentral:tRNA from 1 species